rnacentral:rRNA from 1 species
CCAAUAGCGUAUAUUAAAGUUGUUGUGGUUAAAAAGCUCGUAGUUGAACCUUGGGCCUGGCUGGCCGGUCCGCCUCACCGCGUGUACUGGUCCGGCCGGGUCUUUCCCUCUGUGGAACCCCAUGCCCUUCACUGGGUGUGGCGGGGAAACAGGACUUUUACUUUGAAAAAAUUAGAGGCCUCCAGGCAGGCCUAUGCCCGAAAACAUUAGCCUGGAAUAAUGAAAUAGGACGUGCGGUUCUAUUUUGUUGGUUUCUAGGACCGCCGUAAUGAUUAAUAGGGACAGUCGGGGGCAUCAGUAUUCAAUUGUCAGAGGUGAAAUUCUUGGAUUUAUUGAAGACUAACUACUGCGAAAGCAUUUGCCAAGGAUGUUUUCAUUAAUCAGGAACGAAAGUUAGGGGAUCGAAGACGAUCAGAUACCGUCGUAGUCUUAACCAUAAACUAUGCCGACUAGGGAUCGGACGAUGUUAUUUAUUGACUCGUUCGGCACCUUACG